UGGGGAAUUUUCCGCAAUGGGCGCAAGCCUGACGGAGCAAUACCGCGUGAGGGAGGAAGGUCCUUGGAUUGUAAACCUCUUUUCUCAGGGAAGAAGUUCUACGGUACCUGAUGAAUAAGCAUCGGCUAACUCCGUGCCAGCAGCCGCGGUAAUACGGAGGAUGCAAGCGUUAUCCGGAAUUAUUGGGCGUAAAGCGUCCGUAGGUGGUUAUGCAAGUCUGCCGUUAAAGAAUGGAGCUUAACUCCAUAGGAGCGGUGGAAACUGCAAGACUAGAGUACAGUAGGGGUAGCAGGAAUUCCCAGUGUAGCGGUGAAAUGCGUAGAUAUUGGGAAGAACAUCGGUGGCGAAAGCGUGCUACUGGGCUGAAACUGACACUGAGGGACGAAAGCUAGGGUAGCGAAAGGGAUUAGAUACCCCUGUAGUC
rnacentral:rRNA from 1 species